rnacentral:rRNA from 1 species
GGUAGGAAGAAGAUUCUAAGGCCAACGGGAGAAGGGUUGUUAAGGAACUCGGCAAAUUGACCCCGUAACUUCGGGAGAAGGGGUGCUCCAGAGAUGGAGCCGCAGAGAAUCGGCCCAAGCAACUGUUUACCAAAAACACAGGUUUGUGCUAAAUCGAAAGAUGACGUAUACGAGCUGACGCCUGCCCGGUGCUGGAAGGUUAAGAGGAGAUGUGCAAGCAUUGAAUCGAAGCCCCAGUGAACGGCGGCCGUAACUAUAACGGUCCUAAGGUAGCGAAAUUCCUUGUCAGGUAAGUUCUGACCCGCACGAAAGGCGUAAUGAUUUGGGCACUGUCUCAACAGCCCGCCCGGCGAAAUUGUAGUACCGGUGAAGAUGCCGGUUACCCGCGACAAGACGGAAAGACCCCAUGGAGCUUUACUGUAGCCUAAUAUUGGGUUUCGAUGUUGCAUGCACAGGAUAGAUGGGACACAGGGAAACAAGUGCUUUGGCAUUUGUGGAGUGGCCGUUGGGAUACCAUCCUUGCGAUAUUGGAAUUCUAACCUGCGCCUUUGAAUCAAGGCGGGGGACAUUGUUAGGUGGGCAGUUUGACUGGGGCGGUCGCCUCCUAAAGAGUAACGGAGGCGUUCAAAGGUUCGCUCAGCUUGAACGGAAAUCAAGCAAAAGAGUGCAAACGCAGAAGCGAGCCUAACUGCGAGACUGACGGGUCGAGCAGUAACGAAAGUUGGAGUUAGUGAUCCGGUGGUAUGUGAGUGGAAAUGCCAUCGCUCAACGGAUAAAAGCUACCCUGGGGAUAACAGGCUGAUCUCCCCCAAGAGUCCACAUCGACGGGGAGGUUUGGCACCUCGAUGUCGGCUCAUCGCAUCCUGGGGCUGUAUUCGGUCCCAAGGGUUUGGCUGUUCGCCAAUUAAAGCGGUACGCGAGCUGGGUUCAGAACGUCGUGAGACAGUUCGGUCCCUAUCUGUCGUGGGCGCAGGAUAUUUGAUGGGAGCUGUUCCUAGUACGAGAGGACCGGAGCGGACGUACCUCUGGCGCACCAGUUGUUCUGCCAAGAGCAUAGCUGGGCAACUAUGUACGGAUCGGAUAAACGCUGAAAGCAUCUAAGCGUGAAGCCGACCCAAAGAUAAGAUAUCCCACUGAUUUAAUCAGGUAAGACCCCUUGAAGACUACAAGGUUGAUAGGCACGAUGUGUAAGUGGAGCGAUCCAUUCAGCAAGCGUGUACUAAUAGGUCGAGGGCUUGACCAC